AUGUGCCUUGAGGGGUCGAAGGGCAACCAUGACGCAGCAUGCUUGUCGGGCAACCCACGCGACCUGGUCCUUUCCGGCGGCAGCACAUGUGGCAAGGAGAUCACGGAGGCCAAAGGAGUGAUGCGCUCGCCGGCGCCGCUAUGGUGGCAACACACGUCAAGACGCGAGGCCGUGGCCACCGCCGGCGCCCUCGCUCACACACACGUCCCCUUGCCCUUGCCUGUCCGGCCAGUGGCUGCGCCGGUGACAAGGAGGACGGGCAGCAAGCGGAACACGCUGGUGGCGACCGACCUGCGGAUGAGCGUGUGUCAAGAUACAACUGGAGUACCAUCUCUCAGGUUAACUAACAAUAAAUAUAUUCAUCUCUCUUGUGUAUCAGGCGAAGAAACACAUACACGUACAAGGGUCCAGGAGCAGCACCUGGGCAUGGAGGUUUGCAGCAGCUCCUCCUGCGUGCCUCGUCUGGGUAGCAGGCAGGAACCCAAGGAGGCACCCUCGAGAGUACUUGAAGAUGGUGGCAUACAUCCAUCCAUCAGGCCUCGCACCAGGAGGCACAGGGAGGGAUCCAGAAGGAACGCCCCAGAAAUUGUGGCAGCGAUGGCAAUCUGA
rnacentral:rRNA from 1 species